rnacentral:rRNA from 1 species
AGAGUUUGAUCCUGGCUCAGAACGAACGUUGGCGGCGUGGAUUAGGCAUGCAAGUCGAACGAAUCCCUGAGGGCUUGCCCUUGGGGGGAAGUGGCGAAAGGGGCAGUAAGGCGUGGGCAACCCACCCCGGGGACCGGGAUAGCCUUCCUAACGGAGGGGUAAUACCGGGCGAUGUAUCCGGCAGGCAUCUGCUGGCUACGAAAUGAAUUUCGCCUCGGGACGGGCUCACGUGGUAUUAGCUAGUUGGUGGGGUAACGGCCUACCAAGGCUGAGAUGCCUAGCGGGUGUGAGAGCACGACCCGCGCCACUGGCACUGGGACACUGGCCAGACUCCUACGGGAGGCUGCAGUCGAGGAUCUUCGGCAAUGGGCGCAAGCCUGACCGAGCGACGCCGCGUGUGCGAUGAAGGCCUUCGGGUUGUAAAGCACUGUCGAGGGGGAGGAAAGCCCGCAAGGGUCUGACCUAUCCCUGGAGGAAGCACGGGCUAAGUUCGUGCCAGCAGCCGCGGUAAGACGAACCGUGCGAACGUUGUUCGGAUUCACCGGGCUUAAAGGGCGCGUAGGCGGGGGGGUCAAGUCUGAGGUGAAAUCUUUCGGCUCAACCGGAAAAGUGCCUUAGAUACUGACUCUCUCGAGGGGGGUAGGGGCAUGUGGAACUUCCGGUGGAGCGGAAAUGCGUAGAUAUCGGAAGGAACGCCGGUGGCGAAAGCGACGUGCUGGACCCCUUCUGACGCUGAGGCGCGAAAGCCAGGGGAGCAAACGGGAUUAGAUACCCUAGUAGUCC